UCCUGGUUAACCCAGGCAGUCUCGCUAGAGUACCCAACUAAAUGCUGGCAACUAACGAUAUGGGUUGCGCUCGUUGCGGGACUUAACCCAACACCUCACGGCACGAGCUGACGACAGCCAUGCAGCACCUGUAUAAUGGUCCCGAAGGAAAACGCAAUUUCUUGCGCUGUCCACUACAUGUCAAGUCCAGGUAAGGUUCUUCGCGUUGCAUCGAAUUAAACCACAUGCUCCACUGCUUGUGCGGGUCCCCGUCAAUUCUUUUGAGUUUCACCCUUGCGAGCGUACUCCCCAGGCGGCAUACUUAACGCGUUAGCUACGGCACAGUUGGGGUUGAGACCAACUACACCAAGUAUGCAUCGUUUACAGCUAGGACUAC
rnacentral:misc_RNA from 1 species